UACGUAGGUGACAAGCGUUUGUCCGGAUUUACUGGGCGUAAAGCGUGCGUAGGCGGUUUGUUAAGUCUGUCGUGAAAGCCCCGGGCUCAACCUGGGAAUGGCGAUGGAUACUGGCGAGCUAGAGUACGGUAGAGGAGAGUGGAAUUCCUGGUGUAGCGGUGGAAUGCGUAGAGAUCGGGAAGAACAUCAGUGGCGAAGGCGGCCUGCUGGGCUGUUGCUGACGCUGAGGCGCGACAGCGUGGGGAGCAAACAGG
rnacentral:rRNA from 1 species